rnacentral:rRNA from 1 species
AGCGAACGCUGGCGGCAGGCCUAACACAUGCAAGUCGAGCGCCGUAGCAAUACGAAGCGGUAGACGGGAGAGUAACACGUGGGAACGUACCCUUUGGUUCGGAACAACCCAGGGAAACUUGGGCUAAUACCGGAUAAGCCCUCACGGGGAAAGAUUUAUCGCCGAAGGAUCGGCCCGCGUCUGAUUAGCUAGUUGGUGGGGUAAUGGCCCACCAAGGCGACGAUCAGUAGCUGGUCUGAGAGGAUGAUCAGCCUCACUGGGACUGAGACACGGCCCAGACUCCUACGGGAGGCAGCAGUGGGGAAUAUUGGACAAUGGGCGCAAGCCUGAUCCAGCCAUGCCGCGUGGGUGAUGAAGGCCCUAGGGUUGUAAAGCCCUUUCGGCGGGGAAGAUAAUGACGGUACCCGCAGAAGAAGCCCCGGCUAACUUCGUGCCAGCAGCCGCAGUAACAC